rnacentral:rRNA from 1 species
GACGUAGGGCGCGAGCGUUGUCCGGAUUUAUUGGGCGUAAAGAGCUCGUAGGCGGCUUGUCGCGUCGACUGUGAAAACCCGCGGCUUAACUGCGGGCCUGCAGUUGAUACGGGCAGGCUAGAGUUCGGUAGGGGGAGACUGGAAUUCCGUGGUGUAGCGGUGAAAUGCGCAGAUAUCAGGAGGAACACCGGUGGCGAAGGCGGGUCUCUGGGCCGAUACUGACGCUGAGGAGCGAAAGCGUGGGGAGCGAACAGGAUUAGACUACCCCG